AGCUGGGGUGAUUCCACGUGUAACGGGCUCAGGCCCAGGAGGGGCCGGUUGGAGGCUUUUUUUCUGCCUACCUUCCCAAGGGCGACAGUGGGCUGGAGCUGAAUUCGGCUACCUGAACCCCCAGGGUCUCGGCAGGUUGCUAGGCAACCCCAGAAUCCCCCAGGAAGGGCGAGGAGAAAGUGAACCUGUCCUGUAGUUUAAAUCACCAGACCAUGAGAAGCUACAUCUGGACCAGAAAGAGGGGCCUGCCCAGUACACAGAGUUCCUGGACUCCAAGCUGUAUGUAGGAGCUGGUUGAGGAAAACCAGUGACAAACCUGGACCACUAUGCCUCAGUUUCUUUGGUGCCUUCCUACUUUUCACAAGUCCCCACCCAGGACCUCCAGAGCUUGAAACUGUCUUGUGAUCCUAUUCUAAUCCAACAUGUGAACAAUCUUCUGUGUUCCAAAGAUGAGGUGAGCUCUAAAGUGGAUUCAUCUCUCUGCUUACUCUUUUAGCUCAGAGCAGGCAUACAGGUUCCAGAGGGAAGUUAACAAUUUGUCAAAGGAAAGUACAUGACUUAAGACAAGAUUUAUCCCAUGGAGGUAAACCUCUUACUCCAGACAACCAGCUGUGCAAAAGGUUCCCGGCCAACUAAGAGACAGUUAUGAGGAUUCCUGACUCUCACCGGCCACUGCAGGCAGGGUAUUCCCAACUUUUCUGAAACUCCCACAUCACUAUUUGACUUACCCAAGUCCUUG